UACAGUCUCAUUUUCAUUUUCUUGUAAUUAUUCUAUUCUCCUUUUUUCUUUUUCAUUUUCUUGUAAUUAUUCUUUUUUCUUUUUUCUUUUUCAUUUUCUACUUAUAAUUACUAUUUUAGCAUAUUUUUUAAUCUGUGUAACUUAUGUUAAUGGUUUAAUUAUCAGAAUAUAGAAGAUGACAUUUUAUGUUCUUAAGGAUAUAAGUAUAUAUUUAAUUAAUUUUGAUGUUCAAUACAUAUCUUUCUAAACUAAUUAAUGUCAAGGUUUGUUACUCAUUACAUGUUUGAUUGAUUUAUAGAAUUGAGGAUGUACUUAAUACAAAUAUUUAGCUUACAUUACUUAAUAGAAAUCUCUGGUUCAUAAUCAGUUUAUGAUUGUAUAAACAAAAUACAAAGGGUAAAAAAAUACGUACUGCUGAAAAAUUGUCAUAUUUUCCUUUUUUUUCUAUCUUUUAUGAGUAAUUUUCUUUCUUAUCUAUCAAAUGUACAGAUCAAGUGAUUUCUGAUAUAGGUUGAUCUUUUGAAGGUUACACAUCUCUAACUUGUUUAUUUUGUCACUCUAUUCAUCUGUGUUUCCUCUUAUUUUCAAUUUUAUUCUUGCAUCACCAAUGAUUAUGAUAGGGUUUUUCGUAUUGUUUUGAUGAGAUUGAGAUGUUUGUUAGGAUUAUGAGGAUCUCACAAUAAUAAAGUUGGUGCUAAUGUAACACUAGAAAAAUGAUUGGGUUGGUUUCCUUUAAUACAUACGGUCUCAUUUUCAUUGUCUUGUAAUUAUUCUAUUUUCUUUUUUUCUUUUUCAUUUUCUUGUAAUUAUUCUUUUUUCUUUUUUUCUUUUUCAUUUUCUACUUAUAAUUAGUAUUUUAGCAUAUUUUUUAAUCUAUAUAACUUAUGUUAAUUGUUUAAUUAUCAGAAUAUAGAAGAUGACAUUUUAUGUUCUUUAGGAUAUAAGUAUAUAUUUAAUUAAUUUUGAUGUUCAAUACAUAUCUUUCUAAACUAAUUAAUGUCAAGGUUUGUUACUCAUUACAUGUUUGAUUGAUUUAUAUAAUUGAGGAUGUACUUAAUAUAAAUAUUUAGCUUACAUUAUUUAAUAGAAAUCUCUGGUUCAUAAUCACUUUAUGAUUGUAUAAACAAAAUACAAAGGGUAAAAAAAUACGUACUGCUGAAAAAUUGUCAUAUUUUCCUUUUUUUUCUAUCUUUUAUGAGUAAUUUUCUUUCUUAUCUAUCAAAUGUACAGAUCAAGUGAUUUCUGAUAUAGGUUGAUCUUUUGAAGGUUACACAUCUCUAACUUGUUUAUUUUGUCACUCUAUUCAUCUGUGUUUCCUCUUAUUUUCAAUUUUAUUCUUGCAUCACCAAUGAUUAUGAUAGGGUUUUUCGUAUUGUUUUGAUGAGAUUGAGAUGUUUGUUAGGAUUAUGAGGAUCUCACAAUAAUAAAGUUGGUGCUAAUGUAACACUAGAAAAAUGAUUGGGUUGGUUUCCUUUAAUACAUACGGUCUCAUUUUCAUUGUCUUGUAAUUAUUCUAUUUUCUUUUUUUCUUUUUCAUUUUCUUGUAAUUAUUCUUUUUUCUUUUUUUCUUUUUCAUUUUCUACUUAUAAUUAGUAUUUUAGCAUAUUUUUUAAUCUAUAUAACUUAUGUUAAUUGUUUAAUUAUCAGAAUAUAGAAGAUGACAUUUUAUGUUCUUUAGGAUAUAAGUAUAUAUUUAAUUAAUUUUGAUGUUCAAUACAUAUCUUUCUAAACUAAUUAAUGUCAAGGUUUGUUACUCAUUACAUGUUUGAUUGAUUUAUAUAAUUGAGGAUGUACUUAAUAUAAAUAUUUAGCUUACAUUAUUUAAUAGAAAUCUCUGGUUCAUAAUCACUUUAUGAUUGUAUAAACAAAAUACAAAGGGUAAAAAAAUACGUACUGCUGAAAAAUUGUCAUAUUUUCCUUUUUUUUCUAUCUUUUAUGAGUAAUUUUCUUUCUUAUCUAUCAAAUGUACAGAUCAAGUGAUUUCUGAUAUAGGUUGAUCUUUUGAAGGUUACACAUCUCUAACUUGUUUAUUUUGUCACUCUAUUCAUCUGUGUUUCCUCUUAUUUUCAAUUUUAUUCUUGCAUCACCAAUGAUUAUGAUAGGGUUUUUCGUAUUGUUUUGAUGAGAUUGAGAUGUUUGUUAGGAUUAUGAGGAUCUCACAAUAAUAAAGUUGGUGCUAAUGUAACACUAGAAAAAUGAUUGGGUUGGUUUCCUUUAAUACAUACGGUCUCAUUUUCAUUGUCUUGUAAUUAUUCUAUUUUCUUUUUUUCUUUUUCAUUUUCUUGUAAUUAUUCUUUUUUCUUUUUUUCUUUUUCAUUUUCUACUUAUAAUUAGUAUUUUAGCAUAUUUUUUAAUCUAUAUAACUUAUGUUAAUUGUUUAAUUAUCAGAAUAUAGAAGAUGACAUUUUAUGUUCUUUAGGAUAUAAGUAUAUAUUUAAUUAAUUUUGAUGUUCAAUACAUAUCUUUCUAAACUAAUUAAUGUCAAGGUUUGUUACUCAUUACAUGUUUGAUUGAUUUAUAUAAUUGAGGAUGUACUUAAUAUAAAUAUUUAGCUUACAUUAUUUAAUAGAAAUCUCUGGUUCAUAAUCACUUUAUGAUUGUAUAAACAAAAUACAAAGGGUAAAAAAAUACGUACUGCUGAAAAAUUGUCAUAUUUUCCUUUUUUUUCUAUCUUUUAUGAGUAAUUUUGUUUCUUAUCUAUCAAAUGUUAGGAUUAUGAGGAUCUCACAAUAAUAAACGUGGUGCUAGUGUAACACUGGAAAACAUAUUGAGUUGCUUUCCUUUAUACCAUACUGUCUCAUUUUAAAUUUGUUGUUAUUAUUCUAUUUUCUUUUUUUCUUUUUCAUUUUCUAGUAAUUAUUCUAUCUUAUUUUUUUAUUUUUCAUUUUCUACUUAUAAUUAGUAUUUUAGCAUAUUUUUUAAUUUGUAUAACUUAUGUUAAUUGUUUAAUUAUCAGAAUAUAGAAGAUGACAUUUUAUGUUCUUAAGGAUAUAAGUAUAUAUUUAAUUAAUUUUGAUAUUCAAUACAUAUCUUUCUAAACUAGUUAAUAUCAAGGUUUGUUACUCAUUACAUGUUUGAUUGAUUUAUAUAAUUGAGGAUGUACUUAUUAGAAAUAUUUAGCUUACAUUAUUUAAUAGAAAUCUCUGGUUCAUAUUCACUUUAUGAUUGUAUAAACAAACUUAUUAGAAAUAUUUAGCUUACAUUAUUUAAUAGAAAUCUCUGGUUCAUAUUCACUUUAUGAUUGUAUAAACAAAAUACAAAGGGUAGAAAAAUACGUACUGCUGAAAAAUUGUCAUAUUUUUUUUUCUAUCUUUUAUGAGUAAUUUUCCUUCUUUUCU
rnacentral:lncRNA from 1 species